UGUCCAGAUAGUUGGGAUCCGAGUCCAUGUCAAAUUGGUUGAAUAAAAUGAGGCUAGGAUUCCUACACAAUUUCAAGAGUUGGCAUAGAAUACUGAAAAGUGAAGAGACAGCUAUAUUGGAGUUGCACAUAUCAUGUGUAAAGUUUGAUUUCUUGGCAGAGACCCAUGCAACCAUUUAUGAAGAGUUCAGAAGACUUCCUGGUCCACGAUGACUUUGCUGUUGUUCAUCAAAAAGUUCAGCUGACAAAUUUCCAUUCGUAACCUCAAAAAUGUGUUAUCCCUUUAAACUAAGAUAGUAUUGUCAAGUUAGCUAUCAAACCCAUUGCUUUUUUAACUUCUGUUAAAUCAUAAUAUACAUGUAGCUGAAAACAUUUUUUAUCAUGACUUUUAUAAAUUUUAUACAAUAGAUAGAUGAUCACUUGAAGACCUGUGUAAAAUUUUAAGCAGUGUGGUUUUUCUGUCAUCUGCGUCUAUCCAACAUUAUUGUUGCUGUAUAACAAAUUUAAAUUAUAAUAUUAUAUUGAUUUGCUUUCAUACUAGAAUAAAUGUGCAAGUGUGAUUAACCACAGUAGGAUAACUUAUGCAGUUGUAUCUUUUUAUCCGUAUUUGAAAUCCUAAUACAUUGUAAACAAAAUUGUGUUGUGUUUUCUUUCGUUUUUCAACAUUUAAAUGAAAAAAAAUUCACACCAUUUUUUGGUUUUAUUUUUAUUAUGGCCCCGACUCGACAAAUUUUGAUCUUUUAUUUUUAUUUUUAUUUCGUCCCCUCGACCCAACUUUUUCUUAAAAAUUCCCGUUAAACAGAAAAUA